rnacentral:lncRNA from 1 species
UUCCCUGUGAGCUCUGCUGGCUCCCGGGCCUGUUUCUUCCCCAGCUGUGAGGUUCAAAACUGCUGAUUCAUGCUCCUGCUCCAAGCCUAAUGACCGUGAACAUGCUCUGAUUUUUUUUUCUUCAGGCACAUUUUCCUGGUAACCAGGCGGAUGAUGUGCUAAUGCAAAUUGGCAGACUUGGACUGAAACUCCAAAAAUUGGAUCUGCCACGUGGAAGAACAAAAGGACAAAAGAGACUUCAAGGCUUCCCUUUUGCUUUGGGUUUCCAUUUCUGUUGCAAUGGUAGACAUGAGUGUUUUGAAAACAUUGUCCCACCUGGAGAAAUCUGGAAACUGGUAAAAUGAAGGCCUGUCUGAGAAACAAAACACUGCUGCAAAGAAUCUGAUUUAGUAUCAUGACUUUGGUUCAUUUUUAAUAUAGAAUUUCAUGGCUCAUCAAGGGGUAAGCCAGUCUAUCAAAAGAAGUUGUCUUUUUUGUUCAUUUUAGAAAUGUCCCUGCUGUUACUGUGUGGCGUGUGCUUUUGAAAACUCAACACAGUUUAAACAGAAGAGGGCUGAGGCUUUGUUCUCUCUCCCCUCUUCCCGUCUAAGUUCAUUGUCUUUGCCCUACAAGUUCUUCUCACAGUUUUACCAAUUCCUUCCUGCCCAUAUGAACAAAUGUCAUAGCUUAGCAACAAUCAUCAUUUCAUAUUACAUUUAUAGUUCAGCUAAUAUGAUGGAAUGAUCUACAUGCCAGAAUCUCUUAAUUUCUUUUCCUUUCCUUUACACAGCUGCAGACUGGAACCAAAUGCUCAGUCAGAUAUCUUUCUUAUAUAACUAAUGGGAGGUGAGUGUUUUCCUGUUUCUGUUUUCUCUCUCACCCAUAUUUUCUGUCUCCCUCUGUAUUUAUAGAACCAGCUUUAAUUAUAAUUUACCAGUGUGCUGAGGGCACAUCAGUGAGUCUCCAGAUGGUGCAAAGCAACCUGUGAGAGUACAUUGCUUUUCACAUUUGAUCUUGGAAUAGCCAAUAUGUUCCUGGCAAGCACUGACUAAGCAGUUGACCUGUCUAUUUGCCGUUAGUUUCCAUUUACUUGCUUUCUGGUAAUGAAUACUAAUAUUCCAUGAUAUGAUGGGUCCCCUAAUGUAUCUCCCUAUUUUUCCCUUUUAGAUUUUCCUUUAUGCUUCAUCCAUGGAUCAGUAGGAGGGAAUCCUUUAAUUUAAUACAUAUAUAUUAAAUUAUACAUUUAUUUCAUUAUUUUAAACGAGCUUUUCCUUCCAGCGUAUCACAGCUUCUGAAAUGAAGGUCUUAAACUUAAUGUCAAAGAGUGCUGGAUAUUUUUUUCUAAAAGCAUUUUUGAGAAUGUGAAAAGUAUAUCUAUAAAUAAAUGAAGAGAAAAGAAAGACGAGGAAGAGAAA